GAAGGGGCAUAUAUAUAAUCAAAACAUUUACAAGGUACACGAAAGUUUAAAGUCUACAAAAUAACCCUGACAAGAUGGGUUUGGCUCUCUAUGCAUGGAAAGCCUCAAGCUGACAAAAUGAAAGAUGGAAAAAGAAGGAAACACAAGGAGGAAGAAGAGGUUGUUCCCAUAAGCCCCAAGCAGCCUUCAUAAGCUCCUACAGUGAAGUCGUGUCUCCAAACC
rnacentral:lncRNA from 1 species